rnacentral:rRNA from 1 species
AGAGUUUGAUCCUGGCUCAGGAUGAACGCUGGCGGCGCAUUUAAGACAUGCAAGUCGAACGAAAAUUUACGCUUAAAGAGUUGAUUAGUUUACUAAGAGAUGAUUUAUUGUAAAUUUUAGUGGCGGACUGGUGAGUAAUACAUAGGUAAUCUGCCUUUUAGAGGGGAAUAACUAGGAGAAAUCCUAGCUAAUACCGCGUAAGACCACACUUAGGCAUCUAAGAGAGGUCAAAGGAGUAAUCCGCUAAAAGAUGAGCCUGUGGCUGAUUAGUUAGUUGGUGGGGUAAGAGCCUACCAAGACGAUGAUCAGUAGCCGAGCUGAGAGGCUGGCCGGCCACAUUGGGACUGAGAUACGGCCCAGACUCCUACGGGAGGCAGCAGUUGGGAAUAUUGGACAAUGGAGGAAACUCUGAUCCAGUGACGCCGCGUGAAGGAAGAAGGUCUUCGGAUUGUAAACUUAUUUUAUCAGGGAAGAAGAAAGUGACAGUACCUGAAGAAAAAGGACCGGCAAACUACGUGCCAGCAGCCGCGGUAAUACGUAGGGUCCAAGCGUUAUCCGGAUUUACUGGGUGUAAAGGGCGAGUAGACGGCGCUGUAAGUCAGCUGUGAAAACUUAGGGCUCAACCUUAAGCCUGCAGCUGAAACUGUAGUGCUAGAGUGCAGGAGAGGUAAGCGGAAUUCCUAGUGUAGCGGUGAAAUGCGUAGAUAUUAGGAGGAACACCAGUGGCGAAGGCGGCUUACUGGACUGUAACUGACGUUGAGGCGCGAAAGUGUGGGGAGCAAACAGGAUUAGAUACCCUGGUAGUCCACACCGUAAACGAUGGAUACUAGGUGUAGGCGAGAUAUCGUCUGUGCCGGCGCAAACGCAAUAAGUAUCCCACCUGGGGAGUACGGCCGCAAGGUUGAAACUCAAAGGAAUUGACGGGGGCCCGCAC